rnacentral:lncRNA from 10 species
GUUGCUGCUGCGACGCCGAGGACGAGCCGGCGGUCAGGCCGUCCAGCACCUUCCUGAUGUUGAAUUUCCUCAUGGUCUCGGAGGGGCUCCCCCGCAGCCCGGGAGGGGAGGCACAGGGGGUCCCCGGGCGGGGGAGACCACCCGGGGCCGAAGGCAGCUUCGACCGCGGAAACGGAGGAGUGGGAGUGUGAGGAGAAAUAUGCAAUGAUGACAUUUCCAAGAAGUGAUGGCAUCUGGCGCUAAGGACAAAGAAUGGGAUUUUGCCACAGGGAUCUUAUUCUCCCACAUGUUCUGUCUGAAGGAGAAAGUUAUCUGAGGCCUUAUAUGAUGCAAAACUUUGGACUCAAAGAAAUUAAAUCACUUGCCCAAGGUUACAUAGCUGGUGAAAUGUUGGUGCCAAAUGAACUUUUCUGGUUCUUCUGAAUAUGCCACUGUUGCUGGAGAAAUGUCACUGCUAGAGAACAGAAGACUAUUAUUCCAAAGGGUAUUUGAGACUGACUGAAUCAGGUCUGGAACAUUAUUGAAAUGAGACCCACAAAAGAAGAGAUACUGAGAGGAUGAAGAGAUCCUCCUAGCUUGGCGGAAUACUCUGCUCUGAUGGAAGUACCAUCCUGGUCCAAACAUGAAAGAAUUCCCAACAUCAAGAUUGAUUGAAACAUAUUCAAUGGGUAUGUGUGAUCUUCACAUAUGUAUCUAUUGGAAGUAUAACAAAAUUCUUCCAUUUGUGUGGUGGUGAAUGUAAAAUUUGUAUAGCGGU